rnacentral:lncRNA from 1 species
UGCAAUAAGAGAAUGAACAAACUGUGUUUCCGAAACAUCUGACAUAAUGUAGGAGGAAAAUCCUACAAGGUUGAGGAUGGUAGAAGUGGAGAAUAGCUUUAAAGUCAUUGCCAGAGUGAUAAUGCUUUCUUUGGGACUGGCUAAACAUGACUCACAGGGGCACAGUCAUGAAAAAACAUCACAUAUUUGCUGAAUGGCUGGAAUAGUUUGUGUUGAUCUAUGUUGGCAGCUAAGGGAGACCUCUUUCAAGCUUCAGGGACAAUGCAAAUGUAUAUGUAGUGUCCUUUGGCAUCUGUUAGUCUGGUUUUGUAUGCUUAGUGGGAUACAAGUAAACCGGGAACAAUUAGCUAUUUUGCUCAAAUUUUCAGUUGUC